GACAGAGGUGCCGAGCGUUAGGCGGAAUUACUGGGCGUAAAGCGCACGUAGGCGGAUCGAUCAGUCAGGGGUGAAAUCCCAGGGCUCAACCCUGGAACUGCCUUUGAUACUGUCGAUCUGGAGUAUGGAAGAGGUGAGUGGAAUUCCGAGUGUAGAGGUGAAAUUCGUAGAUAUUCGGAGGAACACCAGUGGCGAAGGCGGCUCACUGGUCCAUUACUGACGCUGAGGUGCGAAAGCGUGGGGAGCAAACAGG
rnacentral:rRNA from 1 species